rnacentral:lncRNA from 1 species
AUGAGGGAGAUGUUCAGUGCUGAAGACUGUUGUCCAGACGUCCAGAAGGAGGCUCUUGACCUGGCCUAUGAGCGGGUGAGCACCUUGUACCUGUACCGGCUGGUUGUCACCAAGAAGAAGGAGCUGGAGAAGCGAUGGGGUCGUGACGUGGGUCAGAAAGUGACUCAGGACGCACGACAUCUUCAUAAGACCUUCUCAGACCUGCACCCUGGUGUCUGCCAACAGAACCAUGUGCUCCUGAAGGUGGAGGAGCUGAUCCAGAGCCAGGAUGUGAACUCAGUGAAGAUCACCCUCUCUGGGAUGAUGCAGCUCUGCCAGUCGGAGAAAUCUAAGAAAUUGUUGCCUCCUCUGUUGAAGUGGAACGGCCUUUCUGGAGCUCAGGUACAGGAGGUCCUGGAAGCAGUUCAGGUGCCGAACACCAGAGAGACCAGAACAUUGUUCUCAUGUAUCCCCAUCUAGCGACCAGCGACACUAGUCUGACGAUGGUACCAGAUUAGAAGACUCUGCUGGCUGAAGACAAUAUGAAUGCAUUAAAUAGGUUAACGUGUACGUUAACCUAGGAAACUGUAUAUUUAUCAAUUACAUUUACAUUUGGGGAAUUUAGCAGACGCUUUUAACCAAAGCGACUUACAAUAAGUAUGUUUUGUCAGAAGAAGGUCAAACAAUAUAUCGCUGUCGCUGUACAGUACAGUACAGGUACAGUACUCUGUCAGGACAGUAAGGUAGUUACAGUACAGUACAGGUACAGUAUGGCCAACAAAAACUCCCAUGAUGCAUUCGGAUAUAUUCUGCUCUAUUGUUUUAUUCAUGGUUUAAUUUAUUUGAUGAUUGUAAAAAGUUAAUGUCAAUGAAUCAAUAAAGUUUGCGAAGCAUCAAUACAGCAAUGUGUGUUUAUAUUCUCUCAGACCAACGGAACUGCCCUGGUCAAGUGACAUGAAGACUCAUGCCUAAGACCUGAUCGACCCUCACACAAAGCACUCUUACACAAAUUUGCUUCUGGUCCCGGAAGUAAAUUUCCCGUUCAUUUUCUCCAUUGACGUUUCUUCAAAUCGAGUUUCAAGCCUGGAACCAAGCCAAUCAUUUGUCAUGGUAGUAGUAUCUAUCAAACAUUUGUUUAGGAGCAAAACUAUUUUUGGAAAAUGAAAUAAAAAACAAAGGUACAAUACUGUGUACUUUUGUAUUUUGAACGAGUGAGGAACAACUCAUCCCAUGAACCACGACAAAUAUUUUUUCGCAAUGGUCACACCCCAAUAGAUUAGAACGUUUCUUACAUCUUAGAACCUUUGUCAUUAUCAUAUUUUUUAUAUUGUUAAUACAAGUUGUGUCAUAUAGUUUGUGUGUUCAAAGACGUGUUACACUUUAGUAGUGUAGUGCUUUUAAGCGACAUUGCGAAUAAAAUAGUUUUUUCUAAAAAUGCAAGUUCCCGUCUUUAACUUAUGGCUUCUACAGCAGCAUAUACCAUUGUUUCACCAUACGGCUCAUUGUAAUCACACCUUGCAUAGUUACGAC